AUGGCCGUGAGCAAGCAAUGGACGCGGGUGCGCACGCUCGGCCGCGGCGCCUCGGGGGCCGAGGUCUUCCUGGCCGCCGACGACGCUUCCGGGGAGCUCUUCGCGGUCAAGUCCGCCGCGGGGGCGGCGUGCGCGGCGGCGCUGAGGAGAGAGCAGCGUCUCAUGUCCGGCCUGCGCUCCCCGCGCGUGGUCUCCUGCAUCGGCGGCCGCGGCGCCCGCGACGGCUCCUACCAGCUCUUCCUCGAGUUCGCCCCCGGCGGCUCGCUGGCGGACCGGGUGGCGAGCAACGCGGGGCUCGAGGAGCGCGCCGUCCGCGGCUAUGCGGCCGACGUGGCAGCGGGGCUCGCGUAUCUCCACGGCACCGGGAUGGUGCACGGGGACGUCAAGGCGCGCAACGUCGUGAUCGGCGCCGACGGCCGCGCCAAGCUCGCCGAUUUCGGGUGCGCGAGGGAGGCCUCCACGAGCGGACCGAUUAUCGGUGGCACGCCGGCGUUCAUGGCGCCAGAGGUGGCGCGCGGCGAGGAGCAAGGCCCCGCGGCCGACGUCUGGGCGCUAGGCUGCAUGGUUGUCGAGAUGGCCACCGGCCACGCGCCGUGGAGCGGCAUGGACGGUGACGCUCUGGCCGCGCUGCAUCGGAUCGGGUACACGGAGGCCGUCCCGGAGGUGCCUCAAUGGCUGUCCGCUGAGGCCAAGGACUUCCUGCGCGGGUGCUUGGUCAGGCAGGCCAGCGACCGGUGCACGGCGGCGCAGCUCCUGGAGCACCCGUUCUUGGCGUCCGCCGUCAUCGUAGACGCGAAGCCUCAAGCCGUGGAGAGCAAAAGCAAAUGGGUGUCGCCCAAGAGCACGCUGGACGCGGCAUUCUGGGAGUCGGAGUCAGACACCGACGACGCGGAGCACGAGAGCACGGCCGAGAGGAGGAUGAGGGCAUUGGCCUGCCCUGCCUCGGCGCUCCCGGACUGGGACUCGGACGAGGGAUGGAUCGAUGUGCUCUCCUCACCUGAAGCAGCUCCGGUGGCGGCCGAGGAGACGGCUGACCUGGACGACGCGAUCACACCAUGUGAAGAAGAAGCAAGCAGCGCAGAGUCCGGCGUUCUUGACGCUGUACUCGUGGAGUGUAGCAGCUUCGUCAACGCGGGAGAGGCCUGCGAUGAUUCAGUCCAGCAAAGUUGUAGUACUAGGCAUCAGUCUCUGGAGGAUUUAGUUUCUCAUCACGGGUUAUCAUGUACUACUGCUAAAUUGUUGUUUUGCAACAAAAAUACCAAUGCAAUUGAUUUCGUUCCUGCACAUCAAAACCUUCUGCUCGCUCCCUCAAAAAAAAAAAACCUUCUGCUCGCACUGCUAGUCUUUUUCACCCAUCAUAGAUCAUCGUACCCCGUUAUUACGACACGUUGGACUUCGAUUAGCAAAAUCGGUGAAAAUCCAGCGUAA
rnacentral:rRNA from 1 species